GAUGAAGAACGUAGUGAAAUGCGAUAAGUAAUGUGAAUUGCAGAAUUCAGUGAAUCAUCGAAUCUUUGAACGCACCUUGCGCUCUUUGGUAUUCCGAAGAGCAUGCCUGUUUGAGUGUCAUGAAAAUAUCAACCUUGACUUGGGUUUUGUGCUCUAGUCUCGGCUUGGAAUUGGGUGCAUGCCGCUUUUACGAGCGGCUCACCUUAAAUGUAUUAGCUGGAUCUGUCUUUGAGACUUGGUUUGACUUGGCGUAAUAAGUAUUUCGCUAAGGACAUUCUUCGGAGUGGCCUCGUUUCUAGGACGCUUGUCCGCUUUCCAAUACAAGUUCCACCUCGUGGACAUGACUUUUUAUUAUCUGGCCUCAAAUCAGGUAGGACUACCCGCUGAACUUAAGCAUAUCAAUAAGCGGAGGA
rnacentral:misc_RNA from 1 species